rnacentral:rRNA from 1 species
UACGGGGGGGGGUAAGCGUUGUUCGGAAUUACUGGGCGUAAAGGGCUCGUAGGCGGCCAACUAAGUCAUACGUGAAAUCCCUCAGCUUAACUGGGGAACUGCGUGUGAUACUGGAUGGCUUGGAUUUGGGAGAGGGAUGCGGAAUUCCAGGUGUAGCGGUGAAAUGCGUAGAUAUCUGGAGGAACACCGGUGGCGAAGGCGGCAUCCUGGGACCAAUAUUGACGCUGAGGAGCGAAAGCCAGGGGAGCAAAGCGGG